rnacentral:rRNA from 1 species
GCAAGGAAUUUUGUGCAAUGGGCGAAAGCCUGACACAGCGACGCCGCGUGAGGGAUGAAGGCCUUCGGGUUGUAAACCUCUUUUCUCAGGGAUGAAUAAUGACAGUACCUGAGGAAUAAGUCACGGCUAACUACGUGCCAGCAGCCGCGGUAAUACGUAGGUGGCGAGCGUUAUCCGGAUUUACUGGGCGUAAAGUGAGCGCAGACGGUUUUUCAAGUCAGAUGUUAAAUCUCUCGGCCUAACCGGGUGGUCGCAUUUGAUACUGUGAAACUAGAGGGCAACAGGGGGAAGCAGAAUUCCCGGUGUAGUGGUGGAAUACGUAGAUAUCGGGAGGAAUACCAGUGGCGAAGGCGGCUUCCUGGGUUGUUUCUGACGUUCAUGCUCGAAGGUGUGGGGAGCAAACAGGAUUAGAAACCCUAGUAGUCC